UGUCUUUCUUCUUCUUUCUUCUUCUCUGUUCUUCUUCUCCUCCUCUCAGUGGUUUGAGCUUGAGUCUCUCGAAAUUAGAUCUUAGAAUCUUGUAGUUGUUGAGUUGAGGGAGAAGGUGAUGCUGCUGCUGUCGGUUGAGUUCUGGAAAAGCAGAAUUCUGGUUUUCUGUUCUUCCCUAAACCAACCAGAAGUUAGGGUUCUUGUGAAUUAGGGUGUUUAAAUCGGAAUCAGCGGAUUAAGAAGAUGAUUUGUUUAGAGGUGAUUGAAGUUGGGUGUUGAUUUUAAGGUUCUGCAAAGAAGAAAUGGAAUCUGGGGUUUGAGUUUGAGUUUGUAUUGGGAAUUAACAGAAUAAUAUUGAGAGGAAGGUGAAUUAGUGAAUUGGGAUCGCUGUUAGUAGUGUAGAACUAUAGUUUGUGACAAGAAGACUGUUUCUACUGAACUGGUGUUUCUAGUCGUGUUGAAAGUUGCAAAUGGAUGGGUUGUGUUUGUUGAGUUGACUGUAUUACAAUUACAGAUGGCAUGUGAAGUUGUUAGUUACUGGAUUUGAAUUACGAGACUGCUGACUUGAGAAGAAUACAAAUGAAGCUGAGACUCUGGUAGUGAUAUGGUGUAUGAAUUGUGUAAAGUGGUGGUGGUGGUGAUUUAGUAAAGCAUUAGAUUUUGGAGAUGAUUGAACAGGUUUUGUGGUUGUGAAGUUGAAAUUGUGUUCGGUUUAGUGAUUUACUGGAUUUAGGAGGUAAUGGAGUUGAACUUGUGGUGUUGUGGAUUGAAGAUAUUAUAUGAAGGGGAGGUUGUCUUGAAUGAAUGAAGUUUUAGAUGAAUGCUAGGGUAAUUGCAGCUGGUGGUGAUAUUGUGAAGUGUUAACUGGAUUAGGUCACUAUGGUUGUGACUGAAUAGAGUGGAAGUGGGAGUAAUGCAGAUAUGAAGACAAUGUUGUUGUGAUGCUGUUGUGUAGCUGCAGUGAUGUUAUUGAAUGCAGGGAAGAUAUUUAAGGUCUAUUGAUAGGGGAACAAUGAUGAUUGGGUUAAGUUGCAGCUAAAGAUUAUGGUUAUCUAGUUAGAUAUGGUAUUGUCUAUGUGUUUGUGACUGCAAGUGUUGGAGCUGAUUUAUUGGUGAACUGCAGUGGUGUCUGGUGAAGCUGAUAGACUUUGUAUAAGAGGAACUGGUGUUACAGGAUUGUUGAAAUGUUGUUAGUAGAAGCUACAUUGAGUUGCAGGCGGAGCAGACUUAUUUUGGAUUACAAGGAAUGACUAAUUGAUGGUGGGAUUGUGACUUACAGGAUUGAAGCGAAAUUCAGCAUGGGAAGGUGAUUGUGUUGUUGAGAAUGAGAACUGGUGGUGUAUGAAUAUGUUGAGAAGAACUGAAGUCAAUGUUGUUAUUGUUGAAAGAUAGUUAGAAAUGGAAGUAGAAGUUAGUUGUAGAUUAUAUAAUUGUGUAUAGUUAGAUUUGGUGUAUGUAACUUUUUCGAUUUUAGCUUUGAGUUUCUUUUAUUUUCA